rnacentral:rRNA from 1 species
AUACGUAGGGGGCGAGCGUUGUCCGGAAUGAUUGGGCGUAAAGGGCGCGUAGGCGGCCCGGUAAGUCUGGAGUGAAAGUCCUGUUUUUAAGAUGGGAAUUGCUUUGGAUACUGUCGGGCUUGAGUGCAGGAGAGGUAAGUGGAAUUCCCAGUGUAGCGGUGAAAUGCGUAGAGAUUGGGAGGAACACCAGUGGCGAAGGCGACUUACUGGACUGUAACUGACGCUGAGGCGCGAAAGUGUGGGGAGCAAACAGGAUUAGAUACCCUGGUAGUCCACACUGUAAACGAUGAAUGCUAGGUGUAGGGGGUAUCGACCCCUUCUGUGCCGCAGUCAACACAAUAAGCAUUCCGCCUGGGGAGUACGGCCGCAAGGUUGAAACUCAAAUGAAUUGACGGGGG